rnacentral:rRNA from 1 species
CCUACGGGUGGCAGCAGUGAGGAAUCUUGGUCAAUGGACGAGAGUCUGAACCAGCCAAGUAGCGUGAAGGAUGACUGCCCUAUGGGUUGUAAACUUCUUUUAUAUGGGAAUAAAAUGUUCCACGUGUGUGAUUGUGUAUGUACCAUAUGAAUAAGGAUCGGCUAACUCCGUGCCAGCAGCCGCGGUAAUAAGGAGGAUCCGAGCGUUAUCUGGAUUUAUUGGGUUUAAAGGGAGCGUAGGUGGGUUGUUAAGUCAAUUGUGAAAGUUUGCGGCUCAAACGUAAGAUUGCAGUUGAAACUUGCAGUCUAGAGUACAGUAGAGGUGAGCGGAAUUCGUGGUGAAGCGGUGAAAUGCUUAGAUAUAACGAAGAACUCCGAUUGCGAAGGCAGUUCACUGGACUGAAACUGACACUGAGGGUCGAAAGUGUGGGUAUCAAACAGGAUUAGAUACCCGUGUAGUC